UUCUUGCCCUUAAUUCCGCGCCCCUUAAUUAAUAGGGCGCAUGCGCUUCAAUAUCCUAUAAAAACUAAGUUAUUUCUUAACUGAUUGCCUUGCGUUACGGUUAAGGUUGGGCAACUGAUAUGGGUCAUCGCGGACCCACGUCUACAUUCGCCUUUAUACACAGCUCGUCGAUUCUAGAAGACACUGAAUUUACCCUGCAAUGAAUAUACACACAGAGAAUAAUUGAAAAAUCUGAAUCUGAUUUUGCUCGCCAAAUGUCAUUGAAGCGAAUUAUAAAAGCACGCUCUAGUUUAAAAAUGAUGAACUAAUAAUACAUCCUUGGUCUGCAGAGUCAUUUAUAUGUACCGAUUUGACUCUUACAAUUUAUAUUAUAGAUUUCAUAAUUUAUAUUGAAAUUUUAUAAUUUCUUUUUUUUUUCUCAUUCUUAAUGUUACUAAUAUUUCAUUGUGUACUAUUAGUUGAUUAACAUAAGAACAGUUCGUACAAUUCAACAUUGAAGAAAUUCGUUAUAGUUCCCUAUUCUAGGUUAUGACAAACGAAGUUUCUAUAUGAAAAAAGAUCUAAUAAACGGCGGAAGAAUAGCUUGAAUUGGAGAUUGAAGAUGAAGAAAAGGAUAAAGAAGAAAAUACUUCUUGAUGAAAACUAAGUUUUCAGCUCGCACAUCUUUUCAUUAUUUUAUCUCCUCUAACUCUUUAUUUUUCUCUUCACUUCUUUUUUUUUUAUAUGAUAUAAUUUAUACUCAUAUAAUUUCUUUUAAUAGAAGAACGCUAUCAUCAAUUCGACAUUUUAUAUUAUUAUCGAAUAUUAUCUUCGAUUAAUGAAUCGAAUUGACGAUAUUUUUUUCCUUUUUUCGACAAUUUUGUCGUUUAUAUUUUUUUUUGUUUCUUUAUUUUUUUCUUUAAAUAUCUGCCACACUGGAUUCGAGACCGGUUUCAAACUCUGGUUUUGAGAUUUUUUAAGAUGUUUUCAAAGAGGAACUCGACGAGAGAUCCAACUACGACCACGGUCAUUUCAAGAUAAAAGAAAAGAAAUACGAAUGCUUUCUCUUCUUUUUAAUAUUAAUAUUCAAAUCUUUGUAUGUAAUAUGAUAUAAUAUAUUUUAAUUUAUUAAAAUUAAAUUUUAAUCAUCGAAUUUGAUAAAUAAUUAAAAUAUUUUUUUAAUCUCAUUUGUUUGAGAAUUCAUCAAAAUAGAAAAUAUUGAUAUUUUUAAUUAAUGAACUUCUUUCUUUUUAUUAUGAUUUUAAAUAAAUUUUAUCAAUGGAAAAUGAUAAAGAUUUAAUGAUUGGAAAGCAUCGGUGGUUACGAAAAUUGAUGAUUUGUUCAAAAUUUAACAUAAUAAAUCUAUCAUAUAUUAUUUUUAUAUUUUAUAAAAU